rnacentral:rRNA from 1 species
UAAUAGCGUAUAUUAAUGUUGUUGCAGUUAAAAGCUCGUAGUUGGAUUUUGGUGUUUGACAAACGGUCGGCCUUACGGUUGGUACUGUUUGUUGGCACUUCUUUUCUGGGGAACUCACUGUUCUUAAUUGAAGGGUGUUGUAACGCAGAUCGUUUACUUUGAAAAAUUAGAGUGUUCAAAGCAGGCCGUCGCAUUGAAUACAUUAGCAUGGAAUAAUGGAAUAGGACUUUGGUCUUAUUUUGUUGGUUUCUAAGGCCGAGGUAAUGAUUAAUAGGGAUAGUUGGGGGCGUUUAUAUUCCGUUGUCAGAGGUGAAAUUCUUGGAUUUACGGAAGAUAAACUACUGCGAAAGCAUUCGCCAAGGAUGUUUUCAUUAAUCAAGAACGAAAGUUAGGGGAUCGAAGAUGAUUAGAUACCAU